rnacentral:lncRNA from 1 species
CCCUCAACUUAAUGAGAAGCUAUGAUUUAGUUAUCACUAUAAGUAUCUUAUUUUAGGGACCUAUUAAUUUAGAAGAUUUAAUUUAUGAAUUAAGAGAAGAGAAGAGAAGAGAAGAGAUCAACCAGUAAACCACAAUCCUCCCAUUAACUUCACUAAGUCAAUAAAAUGGAUUAAGAUCAUGCCAGUCGAAAUAGCACCC